CAAGCGAAGCGCGCGUAUUCCAAAUCUGUUUAAAAAACGACCAGUCGCGACUGGACUGAAUCGGAUACUGAUCAAUACUUGAACUGUCGGCGUGACAUCUCCCCCAAGUGACGCGUCGACCUGGGUACCAACGGACCGCGUGCCCUUGUUUUACUCCUAAUGGUCUUAGCCCGGAUUCACCCCCCCAGAACCCGG
rfam:Spinacia oleracea cultivar SynViroflay scaffold86733.con0039.1, whole genome shotgun sequence.